rnacentral:rRNA from 1 species
AAGCAGCGGAGCGUGUGGUUUAAUUCGAUGCUACACGAACGAACUUACCCGGGUUUCGUACAUAGCAAGGUAGGUAGGUGAUCCGAAAGGUGAACGACCCGCCAAGGGAGGCUUGCACAGGUGUUGGCAUGGCUGUCGUCAGCUCGUGUCGUGAGAUGUUCGGUUAAGUCCGCUAACGAGCGCAACCCUCGCUGUAUGUUACAUGUGUCAUACAGGACCGCCGGUAUCAAGCCGGAGGAAGGUGGGGAUGACGUCAAGUCCGCAUGGCCUUUAUGUCCGGGGCUACACACACGCUACAAUGGUCGGUACAAUGGGUUGCUAAGCCGCGAGGUGGAGCCAAUCCCCCAAAGCCGGCCUCAGUUCAGAUUGCAGGCUGCAACUCGCCUGCAUGAAGCUGGAGUUGCUAGUAAACGCGCGUCAGCUAUAGUGCGUUGAAUACGUUCUCGGGCCUU